rnacentral:rRNA from 1 species
GUGGGGAAUAUUGCACAAUGGGCGCAAGCCUGAUGCAGCAACGCCGCGUGAGGGAUGACGGCCUUCGGGUUGUAAACCUCUUUUAGUAGGGAAGAAGCGAAAGUGACGGUACCUGCAGAAAAAGCACCGGCUAACUACGUGCCAGCAGCCGCGGUAAUACGUAGGGUGCAAGCGUUGUCCGGAAUUAUUGGGCGUAAAGAGCUCGUAGGCGGCUUGUCGCGUCUGCUGUGAAAUCCCGGGGCUCAACCCCGGGCCUGCAGUGGGUACGGGCAGGCUAGAGUGCGGUAGGGGAGAUUGGAAUUCCUGGUGUAGCGGUGGAAUGCGCAGAUAUCAGGAGGAACACCGAUGGCGAAGGCAGAUCUCUGGGCCGCUACUGACGCUGAGGAGCGAAAGCAUGGGGAGCGAACAGGAUUAGAUACCCCUGUAGUCC